UAAAAGACUUAAAAUAAUCACCUCCAUGAGUCCGUCUUAUCGUCACUAAAAUAGAAAGACCUAAAGCACCCUCACAUGCUGUAAAAGUAAUAUAAACUAAAGAAUAGAAAAAGUCUCCUUUUCUCAAUAAUGCUAAUAAUAAAAGAAAAACCCCUAAUCUAAUGUAUUCAAGUCUUAAAAGAACAGACAAAAGAUGGUCCCGCUUAGAGCACACAAUCCAAAUCCCAGAAAGAAUAAUUAAACCUCUAAUAAAAGAUAAAAAUAUAAGUUUUUAUAGUUAAUUUUAUAAUAUUAGUUUUGUAAACUUAAGUGUGCUUAAAGCAUAAAAACUUCAAAAUUAAGUUAUCCACUUUUUUCCAACUUCCAAAGCUAAUAUUUUUCAUAAAUUAAAUUUUGUAUAAAAAUAUUUUUGUUAACUUCCGCAAGAAUUAGAGCUAUAUUUUAUCUAAGAAGACAUCCAGUAAUAAUAAUAGUUUUAAUUAUUUCUCAGACUAUAAUUUUAUGCAUCACUGUAUGAUUUUUUAUAAAAACUAGAUGAUUUUCCUAUAUUUUAUUUUUAAUUUUUUUGGGGGGGUUAAUAGUUUUGUUUAUUUAUAUCACUAGCCUAGCGUCAAAUGAAUUAAUUAGAUUAAAAAUAAUCACCCUCCCAAAUAGUAUUUUUAUCCCCAUAAUUUUGGUAUUCUUUAUAAUUAUAAAUGUAGACUUCCAAGAAUUUAAAGAAUCAAGAACAAGAUUUCUUAUAACAAAAACAUUUAAUUUCCUUUAUAGAUGAAACAACUGCAUUCUUUUAACCACUUCUAUACUUUAUUUAUUUUUAACCCUAGUGAUUGUAGUAAAAAUUUCUAAUAAAUUUGAGGCCCCUCUCAAAACCCUCUCACACUUUUUACAAUAAUGAUAGCAGAACGGAAAAUACACCCUCUUUUUAAAAUUGCCAAUAAUGCUUUAGUAGAUCUUCCUGCCCCAAUUAAUAUUUCAGCCUGAUGAAAUUUUGGGUCUCUUCUAGGAUUAUGCCUAGUAACCCAAAUUAUCACAGGCUUAUUCUUAGCAAUACAUUACACAGCAGAUGUAGCCAUCUCAUUCAAUACAGUAGCUCAUAUUACCCGAGACGUAAACUACGGAUGGCUUCUACGAGUCAUACACGCCAAUGGAGCCUCUAUAUUCUUCAUUGCCCUGUACCUCCAUGUAGGACGAGGGAUCUACUAUUCAUCGUAUACUUAUACAAUGACUUGAACGAUAGGAGUCUUAAUCUUAUUUUUAGUAAUAGCAACUGCUUUCAUAGGAUAUGUAUUAAUUUGAGGACAAAUGUCAUUUUGAGCCGCCACAGUAAUUACAAAUUUAUUGUCAGCAAUCCCUUAUAUAGGUUUAAUAUUAGUACAGUGAAUUUGGGGGGGGUUCGCGGUAGAUAACGCUACACUCACGCGAUUUUUUACAUUCCACUUUGUUCUACCAUUCAUUAUCGCCGGAAUAACAUUAGGCGAGAAGUUAUUUGAUUUUCGUGAAAAUUAAGUCAGAUUGUUCAUA